rnacentral:misc_RNA from 1 species
UCUGGGGAAACAACGCGAGUUGGCAGCCCUCCCAACGAAUAUGGUGCGAAAAGAGAAUCCGUUGUCGGAAGAAACACGAGGGAAGGAAUCGUCAUUAUAUUUGAAAGUAAACUUAUCAUCGAAAAAUGUGCUCCCGCCGCAACCGAAAAUUGUGAAUUGAUUGAAAACGUCGAGGCGACUAACGUUAUGUUCAGUUUGCCAACAAAUCGCAGCCCGGACGAAUCGACAGAGCCAGAAAAAGAGUGUGUCCGUGUGCGUUUGCGAUUGCGUUAGUGUGCGUGUUGUGUGACGGUCCGCAGUCGGUGCGAAAGAGGAGCGCAAAGAGAAGUGUGGAAAGAAAAGAGCGGCAACUGAAGGACGUGUCGCGGUCGUGGUCUCGGUCUCGGACUCGGGAGGAGUGCCAAAGGAUUAAUAGUACCUGGGCUGAUCGCCUGCCAAUGCACAGCAAUUAGCUGGAGCAUCGAAACAGGAGCCGGAGCCGGAACCGGAGCACCCCCCACACCCUACCCCCGCAAUAAAAUUUGAAUCCGGUAGGCGCCACCGCCCACCACCCACCACCCACUCAAGAUUCCACCUCAAACUCCCCGGAGCAUCGACAUGCCCGUCUCGGUGGCCGUCUGCGAGACGACGAACGUCGUUAACGCUGCGCUGCGCGAGUCGCUCGGCGUCGGCAUCGGAAGCGGUGGCGGUGGCGGUGCGGCUGCCAGUAGGGCGUCUGCUGCUUCCGCCAUAGCUUCCAGCGACGACAAAUCAGCCGGCGAGGACACAAAUAGCCUUCAAAAUCACAUCGUGGCGAAUGCCAAGCGCAUUCUGAUGACCAAAAUCGAGUACGAGGAGGUGCCAAACUACCAGGAGGCUGUGCUGGAGAACCUCAAGUCCAAGUACAUCGUCAUCAAGCCGACAAAUCCCACAAAUGGCUGCAAUCUGAACGGCAAUACCGCCAACACCUUUGGGAAUAAAAACAAUGCUGGCAAAAUUGUGGGCGCAAAUGGACAUGACAAUAACGGUCGCAAACUGUCGGACCAUCCCAAUCAAAAUCACAAUCAUGCGAAUCCCAAUGGACACCAUGCCAAUCCCAAUGAGCUGCCCAAACCGAAGAGAGUGCUGUAUCCGCGCGAGAAUAUACGCAUCGGAUGGAAGCAGUCGGAACGGAAGUGGCAGGUGGGCUCUGGGAUGAUCAACGCCGGCAACACCUGCUACCUCAAUUCAACACUACAGGCGCUGUUUCACAUCCCGGCCCUGGCCAACUGGCUGGUCUCCGAGCAGGCGCACAUGGAGAACUGCAAUGUCUCGGAGUCGGGCAGUUUCUGCAUCAUAUGCGCCAUGGCGAAGACGUUACAGGCCACCCAGACCACCCAGUCGGCUGUUAGGCCGUUCCUCAUCUACACCAAGCUGAAACAGAUCUGCAAGCACAUGAUCGUGGGACGGCAAGAAGAUGCCCACGAGUUCCUGCGAUUCCUAGUCGAGGCCAUGGAGCGGGCGUAUCUCAUGCGCUUUCGUAACUACAAGGAGCUCGAUCAACUGGUUAAGGAGACGACGCCCCUGGGACAGAUCUUCGGCGGCUAUCUGCGCAGCGAGGUGCGCUGUCUGAGCUGUAACCAUGUGUCCAUCACGUUCCAGCACUUCCAGGACCUGCUGCUCGACAUCCGCAAGUCAGACUCGCUGGAGGAGGCCUUCGAGGGAUACUUCUCCCGCGAGAAGCUGGAAGAUUUUGGUUACAAGUGCGAGGGCUGCAAGAAGAAGGUCUCUGCCACAAAACAGUUUCGUUUGGAGCGGGCCCCCAUCACGCUGUGCAUCCAGCUGAAGCGCUUCUCCAUGAUGGGCAACAAGCUGACCAAGCAGAUAACGUUCAAGCCCCGCAUCGACUUAAGCAAAUUCGCAGCCCGCUCGCCAGCGGCGUCUGUCCAGCCACUCAUAUACCGCUUGGUGUCGAUGGUGACCCACCUGGGUGUCUCCCAGCACUGUGGUCACUACACGGCCAUCGGAUCAACGGAAGCUGGAAGCUAUUACAACUUUGACGACAGUUAUGUCCGACCAAUAGCGAUACAGAGCGUUUGCAACACCAACGCCUACAUCAUGUUCUACGAGCUGGACCCCCUGCAGACAUCUAGUCCGGCGGCGGCCCGUGCUAACGGCCUGCGACUGACCAACGGUCAUGGUCCUGUGCCGGUGGCAGUGCCGGCCACUGUCUCAUCGCCAUUACCCUCGCCCGCCAAGUUCAUUGGACCACAGCUGCCGCCCGGCGGCAUCAAUGGCUAUAGCAACGGUCAUGGCCCCAAAACGACUAUACAAUUCAAACCACAGCACCAACCAUCCCAUCAGCAAAACGGUGUCCAGCAGUCUGCCAAGUCUCCAUUGCUUAGCACACAUGUUAAGGUUGAAGCUGCCGCAGGAGCAGCAGCAUUAGCAGCAUCAGCAGCUCCAACUGCAAAUGGUAACAAAAGUUCCUCCAAUCACAGCAACCACAAAUCAGUUAACCAGCAACAUUAUCUGCCAAUUUCCUCGGAGGAUGAGGACAGCGAGGAUGAAGUGAAGGCGCGGCCCACUGUCCAGUUGCCCAGUAUGCCAAAAAUGGACGACUGCAUGGACAGCGGCAAGCCAAAGUCGCCGGUGAAGACUCCGGUCAAGACGCCGUUGAAAAGCCUGGUGCCUUAUGAGUCGGCCUCCGAAGAAGAGGAGGUGGUACCACUGCCCAAUCCCAAUGCCCGUAAACGUUCCAGCGACUCGAGCGACUCGGAGCACGAACCGACAACGUCGUCGGUCCAGUUAAAUGGCCAUAGUAAGACUAAUGGCAGUCUCUCCAACGGCUCCAGCAAAUCGACUGACGCCAUCGACGAGAUCUUCAAGAGCCUGAAGGGUUACCAGGCCAAGAAGAAAUCCGCCGAUAGCGAGGACGACGACGACGAUGAGGACGAGCCGAACAACCAACUAACCAAUGGAUGGCAUCCACAGAAACAAUCACAGUCACAAAGCAGAUCAGGACCGCCUUCGCCUAAGACGCCACCCUCGCCGGCGGUCAUCAAGUCCAAGACGGGCAUCUGGAAGGUUACCCGCGACGAUGGUGACGACGAUGAAGACGAUGAUGACGACGACGAUGAGGUGGUGGAGGAGGCGAGGGCGGUGCGGACGCCCGUCAAGAAUCAUCGUAAUCCAUUCGCCAGCAGCAAAACCGCCACGGACUCGCCGACAACGCCGGGGGCCAAGCGCCAGAAGCUGCUGAACGGGAGUGCAAUCAAGACCCAGCAACAGCCUAGGGCGGGAAAUGGCUACCAGAGCGAGGCCACCGCGAACGGGGGCACCGUUAACGAGCUACUGAAGCAGUCGCAUCGGGGAUAUAGCUCAUCGGUGCUCAGCUGGAACGGCAAGCCCGCUGAGCUGGAGAAGGAGCCUUUUGUGUUGGUUUGCGCGAAACGGAUAGCUGGUCACGGCAGUUUGGAUGGCAGUGGCAGUGGCAGUAACACCGAUAUCAUCGAUACAGAGAUCCCGGCAGCAGCAGUCAACUUCCCCAGUGGCAGUUGCAGUUUCAGCGCCAGCGCCAGCAGUCAUGACCUGCCAGCCGAUGCACCCGAUCCGGAUCGUCUUAAGGACGGUCGAUUGGAAGCGGAGGCGGAAGCGUAACACUGCCCUAAUGGUUGCCCUUCACAACAUACAACAUAAACAUACAACAUACAACAAAAAAACAAAAAUCUAAAGUCUGUGAUUGCGUUGAGGAUUCCUCAGUGCGGCCCUGCGGCCGACCCGUUCGCCAAGCGUUAAGUCUAGAUGCCUUAAGUUGCAACCGUCAUUGUGUGUGCGUGCCGUGUGUCUGUUGUGUGUGAGUUGUGGGAGCGAGGGACUGCACCCGGAGCACCCAGAGCACCCAGAGUCUAGGUAACCUGAUGAACUCCAUGCACUGAAGCUUAUGACUGCUGACUGGCCUGGCCGUCCGCCAUCCGCGGUCCCGCUUCUAAAAAUAUUUCUCAACCUGCGUAUUUUGAAUGCCAGAUAACCUGUCACCGUGAACCGAAAACCGUAAAUCCUGCUGGCGGAUGCACGGGAUCAGCGUCAGCGGGACCUGGCCGACGACGAGGAGAACGAAAUGGAUCGCGGCAGGCAGCGCAAGGUGAAGUCC